UUAAGUCAGUGGUCAAAGCCCAUCGCUCAACGAUGGAAUUGCCAUUGAUACUGGAGGCCUUGAGUUCAGUUGAGGUAGGCGGAAUUUAUGGUGUAGCGGUGAAAUGCAUAGAUACCAUAAAGAACACCGAUAGCGAAGGCAGCUUGCUAAGCGACAACUGACACUAAUGUACGAAAGCGUGGGUAGCGAACAGGAUUAGAUACCCUGGUAGUCCACGCCGUAAACGCUGUCUACUAGCUGUGUGUGCCUUUAAGGCGUGCGUAGCGAAGCUAACGCGCUAAG
rnacentral:rRNA from 1 species